UUCACCCUACAAAUCUCGAGUUUCCUCAUUCUUCUUCAUCCAUGCUUCUCUCAUCUUCUUCCCGCCAUUACACGCAACAGAAAUCUUCAAGACCCACAACACUCGACGACGACACUGUCAAGAUCUCACCUCCUCACGAAGAUCCUCAAGAUUCUAGAGUUAUGAUCGAUUUUUUCUAGACUUAUUAUGAUUUUGUGUAAAUUUUGCCCUUUCGGCCAC
rnacentral:ncRNA from 1 species